rnacentral:rRNA from 1 species
GUUUCCGUAGGUGAACCUGCGGAAGGAUCAUUGUCGAUGCAAUUCAAAACGAACCGUGAACACGUAUUGAAAAUCUUGGGCUAGGUGAGACGGCCUUGUGCUCGUCAAGCCCAUGCCCUGCCAAUGGAUUUUUAUGAUGCCUAUAAGUAGGCGUCGUAGAAGUCCUGCCGGCAACGUAACAAACCCCGGCACGGAACGUGCCAAGGAACGUAAAAACUCAAGAAGGGUGUGGCGUGGCACAUUUCGACAUCGGACUUGUGCCCGAUUCCACUGCCUUUCAAAAUCACAAACGACUCUCGGCAACGGAUAUCUCGGCUCACGCAUCGAUGAAGAACGUAGCAAAAUGCGAUACUUGGUGUGAAUUGCAGAAUCCCGUGAACCAUCGAGUUUUUGAACGCAAGUUGCGCCCGAAGCCAUUCGGUCGAGGGCACGUCUGCCUGGGCGUCACGCAUCGCGUCGCCCCCAUCACGGCAUGUUGAAUCGUCAGCAUGCCGUCGGGGGCGGAGAUUGGUCUCCCAUGCCUUUGUGUGUGGUUGGCCCAAAUUGAAGGCCGCCUUGAUUGGCACAUGACUAUUGGUGGUUGAAAAGACCUUCGUUUAAAGUCAUGCUGUGAGUCACUGGUAAAAUGCCUCAUUUAGAACCCUGAUGCAUCGUGUUUUGAUGUCUCGGACGCGACCCCAGGUCA